rnacentral:rRNA from 1 species
UGUUCUUUAAAUAGGGACUAGUAUCAACGGCACCACGAGGGCUAUACUGUCUCCUCUCUCCAAUCAGUGAAACUGAUCCCCCCGUGAAGAAGCGGGGAUUUAUUUAUAAGACGAGAAGACCCCAUGGAGCUUUAAACCCAACGUACACCCCUCACUCAGACACCAGCUCAACCUUAAAGAAUUGUACGUUAGUUUUAGGCUGGGGGGGCCACGGAGUAAAAUAAAACCUCCACAACAAAUGGGCUAACACCCUUAUCUACGAUUUACUAAUCUAAGAAUCACCAAAAUGAUGUUUAAUGACCCGAUAAUUCGAUCAAUGAACCAAGUUACCCUGGGGAUAACAGCGCAAUCCACUUCAAGAGCUCAUAUCGACAAGUGGGUUUACGACCUCGAUGUUGGAUCAGGGUAUCCUAGUGGUGCAACUGCUA